rnacentral:rRNA from 1 species
UUAGCCCUACGGGGCGCAGCAGUGGGGAAUAUUGCACAAUGGGGGAAACCCUGAUGCAGCAACGCCGCGUGAGUGAAGAAGGUUUUCGGAUUGUAAAGCUCUGUUAGCAGGGAAGAGGAAGGACGGUACCUGCAGAGGAAGCCACGGCUAACUACGUGCCAGCAGCCGCGGUAAUACGUAGGGGGCAAGCGUUAUCCGGAUUCACUGGGCGUAAAGGGAGCGCAGGCGGCAUGGCAAGUCUGAUGUGAAAACCCGGGGCCCAACCCCGGGAGUGCAUUGGAAACUGCCAGGCUGGAGGGUCGGAG